UUCUUUGGGGCUCACAAAGCCCUGCCACCUUCAGUCAGUGCUUGAUAAGAAGAGAAAAAUGUCCUUGGAACCCCCCUGGCUGGUGGUGGCAUGAGGGUUUCUGACCCCAGGCUUGUUGCCCACUUGCUACCUUGUCUGCCUUGUCUGCAUGGCAGGCCAGUCCCUGCUUCCAGAGUGGAGACUCGAAGCAUUUAAAAAGCCCACUCAUUCUCUUCCUUUUCUUCC
rnacentral:lncRNA from 1 species